GAUGAACGCUGGCGGCGUGCCUAAUACAUGCAAGUCGAGCGAACAGAUGAGGAGCUUGCUCCUCUGACGUUAGCAGCGGAGGGGAGAGUAACACGUGGAUAACCUACCUAUAAGUCUGGGAUAACUUCGGGAAACCGGAGCUAAUACCGUAUAAUAUAUUGAACCGCAUGGUUGAAUAGUGAAAGACGGUUUUGCUGUCACGUAUAGAUGGAUACGCGCCGCAUUAGCUAGUUGGUAAGGUAACGGCUUAUCAAGGCAACGAUGCGUAGCCGACCUGAGAGAGGGAUCGGCGACCCUGGAAGUGGAACGCGGACAAGGCUACUACGGUACGCAGCAGAAGGGUAUCGUCCGCAAUAGUGGAAAGCCUGGCGCAGCAGCGCGGCGUGAGAGAUGAAGGCGUCGGGUUCGUAAUGAUCUGUUAUGAGUUAAGAACCAAUUUGGAAUUAGCUGUGGACGUCUUGACGGUAACUAAUCAGAAAGCCACGGCUAACUACGUG
rnacentral:rRNA from 1 species